rfam:Tinamus guttatus contig70201, whole genome shotgun sequence.
CGGGGCAGGUUUUUCUCUCGGCUACAUCGGUGUCAAUCCAGAGCAACUCCACUGAGAUUCACACCAGAGUAACUGAGAGCAGAAUCUGGCCAU